rnacentral:piRNA from 1 species
UCUGUUACUAUUUACCACUCG